CGAGCAACGCCGCGUGAGUGAAGAAGGGUUUUCGGAUCGUAAAACUCUGUUGUUAGAGAAGAACAAGGAUGAGAGUAACUGUUCAUCCCUUGACGGUAUCUAACCAGAAAGCCACGGCUAACAACGUGCCAGCAGCCGCGGUAAUAA
rnacentral:rRNA from 1 species